rnacentral:rRNA from 1 species
AGACUAUACUGUGAAUCAUCGAAUCUUUGAACGCACAUUGCACCUGUCUGGGAACUCCGGGCAGUAUACCUGUUUGAGUAUCAGCUACUCCUCUCACUAUCAGUUACUUUGGUAGCCUAGUGAGGACUUGAGUCAUCAUGGACUAUCUCCGGAUAGCCUGUGCGACUUUAAAUAGUAGUACCAGCGUCCCUAGGAUCGCUGUUAUCUUGCAGAGUUGAUGGCCCUGUGCCUAAUCCUGUUAGGGUAGCAGAUCGUAUACCUAGUGGUUAAUCGUAGCUGGCUUACUAAAACCAUACAGUGAUCAGUAGUUAACUGAUUGACUGUGACUUUGAUCUCAAAUCAGGUAAGAUUACCCGCUGAACUUAAGCAUAUCAAUAAGCGGAGG